rnacentral:sRNA from 1 species
GUUGACCCCCUGUUUACAGUGCCAGCGCCACCACCGCCGAUUUCCAGCAGUCUCACGCCUCAGAUUCUACCCUCCUACUUUUCCCCAUCUUCAUCCAAUAUUGCAGCACCGGUUGAACAGCUUUUGGUUCGGACUCGUUCUGUGGGUGUCAAUACAUGUGAAGUUGGAGUAGUGACAGAGCCAGAGUGUCUUGGGCCCUGUGAACCUGGGACCAGUGUGAAUUUGGAAGGGAUCGUGUGGCAUGAAACAGAAGAAGUAUUUCAGCUAGUACAAGGGAAGUGCCUAUUAGAAGCAAUGGGCCACUUGAGGACAUGGAUUGCAUCCAGUAGUGGCGCAUUCACCAAAAGGCAGAUGAAAAUAAUCUGUACCAACAAGGAUCACAACAGGAAACAUCAUCUGAAUUUUCCACUAUU